UACGAAGGGGGCUAGCGUUGUUCGGAAUUACUGGGCGUAAAGGGCGCGUAGGCGGCCCGCUAAGUCGAACGUGAAAUCCCCGAGCUCAACUCGGGAACUGCGUCCGAUACUGGUGGGCUUGAAUCCGGGAGAGGGAUGCGGAAUUCCAGGUGUAGCGGUGAAAUGCGCAGAUAUCAGGAGGAACACCGGUGGCGAAGGCGGGUCUCUGGGCCGAUAUCGACGCUGAGGAGCGAAAGCGUGGGGAGCGAACAGG
rnacentral:rRNA from 1 species